rnacentral:rRNA from 1 species
UACGUAGGGUGCAAGCGUUAUCCGGAAUUAUUGGGCGUAAAGAGCUCGUAGGCGGUCUGUCGCGUCUGCUGUGAAAUCUGGGGGCUCAACCCCCAGCCUGCAGUGGGUACGGGCAGACUAGAGUGCGGUAGGGGAGAUUGGAAUUCCUGGUGUAGCGGUGGAAUGCGCAGAUAUCAGGAGGAACACCGAUGGCGAAGGCAGAUCUCUGGGCCGUAACUGACGCUGAGGAGCGAAAGCGUGGGGAGCGAACAGG